rnacentral:rRNA from 1 species
CCUACGGGAGGCAGCAGUAAGGAAUAUUGGACAAUGGGCGCAAGCCUGAUCCAGCCAUGCCGCGUGAAGGAUGAAGGCCCUAUGGGUCGUAAACUUCUUUUAUACGGGACAAAACCCCCCGAUGCGUCGGGGGUUGAUGGUACUGUAAGAAUAAGGGUCGGCUAACUCCGUGCCAGCAGCCGCGGUAAUACGAAGGACCCGAGCGUUAUCCGGAUUUAUUGGGUUUAAAGGGUGCGUAGGCGGAUUAGUAAGUCAGUGGUGAAAGCCCAUCGCUUAACGGUGGAAUUGCCAUUGAUACUGCUAGUCUUGAGUAUGGUUGAGGUGGGCGGAAUGUGUCAUGUAGCGGUGAAAUGCUUAGAUAUGACCCAGAACACCAAUUGCGAAGGCAGCUCGCUAAACCAUAACUGACGCUGAUGCACGAAAGCGUGGGGAGCAAACAGGAUUAGAUACCCUGGUAGUCCACGCCCUAAACUAUGAUCACUCGUUGUUGGCGAUACACAGUCAGCGACUAAGGGAAACCAUUAAGUGAUCCACCUGGGAAGUACGACCGCAAGGUUGAAACUCAAAGGAAUUGACGG